UGGGGAAUAUUGCACAAUGGGCGCAAGCCUGAUGCAGCCAUGCCGCGUGUGUGAAGAAGGCCUUCGGGUUGUAAAGCACUUUCAGCGAGGAGGAAGGUGGUGAGCUUAAUACGCUCAUCAAUUGACGUUACUCGCAGAAGAAGCACCGGCUAACUCCGUGCCAGCAGCCGCGGUAAUACGGAGGGUGCAAGCGUUAAUCGGAAUUACUGGGCGUAAAGCGCACGCAGGCGGUUUGUUAAGUCAGAUGUGAAAUCCCCGGGCUCAACCUGGGAACUGCAUUUGAAACUGGCAAGCUAGAGUCUCGUAGAGGGGGGUAGAAUUCCAGGUGUAGCGGUGAAAUGCGUAGAGAUCUGGAGGAAUACCGGUGGCGAAGGCGGCCCCCUGGACGAAGACUGACGCUCAGGUGCGAAAGCGUGGGGCAGCAAACAGGAUUAGAUACCCUGGUAGUCCACGCUGUAAACGAUGUCGAUUUGGAGGUUGUGCCCUUGAGGCGUGGNUUCCGGAGCUAACGCGUUAAAUCGACCG
rnacentral:rRNA from 1 species